CACGCUGUAAACGAUGAGCACUAGGUGUCGGGGUCGCAAGACUUCGGUGCCGGAGUUAACGCAUUAAGUGCUCCGCCUGGGGAGUACGUGCGCAAGCAUGAAACUCAAAGGAAUUGACGGGGACCCGCACAAGCAGCGGAGCAUGUGGUUUAAUUCGAAGCAACGCGAAGAACCUUACCAGGGCUUGACAUCCCUCUGACCGGUCGAUAACGCGACCCUCCCUUCGGGGCAGAGGUGACAGGUGG
rnacentral:rRNA from 1 species